UACGUAGGGUGCGAGCGUUAAUCGGAAUUACUGGGCGUAAAGCGUGCGCAGGCGGUGAUGUAAGACAGAUGUGAAAUCCCCGGGCUCAACCUGGGAACUGCAUUUGUGACUGCAUCGCUGGAGUACGGCAGAGGGGGAUGGAAUUCCGCGUGUAGCAGUGAAAUGCGUAGAUAUGCGGAGGAACACCGAUGGCGAAGGCAAUCCCCUGGGCCUGCACUGACGCUCAUGCACGAAAGCGUGGGGAGCAAACAGG
rnacentral:rRNA from 1 species